CCUACGGGGGGCAGCAGUGGGGAAUAUUGGACAAUGGGGGCAACCCUGAUCCAGCCAUGCCGCGUGUGUGAAGAAGGCCCUCGGGUUGUAAAGCACUUUCAGUGAGGAAGAACGCCUGGUGGUUAAUACCCAUCAGGAAAGACAUCACUCACAGAAGAAGCACCGGCUAACUCCGUGCCAGCAGCCGCGGUAAUACGGAGGGUGCGAGCGUUAAUCGGAAUUACUGGGCGUAAAGCGCGCGUAGGUGGCUUGAUAAGCCGGUUGUGAAAGCCCCGGGCUCAACCUGGGAACGGCAUCCGGAACUGUCAAGCUAGAGUGCAGGAGAGGAGGGUAGAAUUCCCGGUGUAGCGGUGAAAUGCGUAGAGAUCGGGAGGAAUACCAGUGGCGAAGGCGGCCUUCUGGACUGACACUGACACUGAGGUGCGAAAGCGUGGGUAGCAAACAGGAUUAGAUACCCUUGUAGUC
rnacentral:rRNA from 1 species